rnacentral:tRNA from 1 species
GGGCCCGUAGCUUAGCCUGGAAGCCACUCGCCUUGCUUUGAUGCAAGGCACCUUGGGCAGUUGAGUGCUCGACUGAUAAUCGAGUGGUCCGGGGUUCAAAUCCCCGCGGGCCCA